UACGGAGGGUGCAAGCGUUGCUCGGAAUUAUUGGGCGUAAAGGGUAGGUAGGUGGUCUCAUUUGUCUGGGGUGAAAGCCUUGAGCUUAACUCAAGAAGUGCCCCAGAAACGGUGAGACUCGAGUCCUGGAGAGGGUCGUGGAAUUCCCGGUGUAGCGGUGAAAUGCGUAGAGAUCGGGAGGAACACCAGAGGCGAAGGCGGCGACCUGGACAGGAACUGACACUCAACUACGAAAGCGUGGGGAGCAAACAGG
rnacentral:rRNA from 1 species